rnacentral:rRNA from 1 species
AACGUAGGGGGCGAGCGUUGUCCGGAAUUACUGGGCGUAAAGGGCGCGCAGGCGGCCUUUUAAGUCAGAGGUGAAAACUGCCGGCUUAACCGGCAGCUUGCCUUUGAAACUGGAGGGCUUGAGGGCAGGAGAGGGGAGUGGAAUUCCCGGUGUAGCGGUGAAAUGCGUAGAGAUCGGGAGGAACACCAGUGGCGAAGGCGGCUCUCUGGCCUAACCCUGACGAUGAGGCGCGAAAGAGUGGGGAGCAAACGGG